GCAAUUUAGCCAAGGAAUCCGAAGUCCCCUGUAAUCCUUCUCUUUCUCAUUAUCUCGUCUCAACCUCUGAGCUCAAUAGCAUGAUCCUCUAGAAUUUCAUUGCAGCUUUUGGUGAUUCUACGACAAUAUGACCCCCAUCUCGUCCAUCGAACUCAAUUAUCUUGUCUUUUGUUACCUUCAAGUAUCAGGUUUUAUGCAUUCAACAUUUUAGGAUAUGAGGCAGGCAUUAAUAAAUGCCCUGUUGAUGGCAAUUUGGUUCCACCCGGAGCUCUCAUCACAUUUGUACAGAAAGGACUCUAGUAUCUAGAGAUGGAAGCAAACACGAGUAAUCUUGCCAGAGUGAAACAGAUAAUGGAUAAAGAUUUCUCAUUUUUACAACCCUUAGAUCUCAUUACAAAGGAUGUCCAUGAACUGAGGCAAAUGAUAAAAGAGAGACAGAAAAAUUAGCAGAAAGGUAGAGAUAAAGAAUUUGACAGAGGGCAGGAAGAGAGAGAAACAACAUAAGGAUCACACUAAUAGAGAAAUGGUUACAAAUAAGUAAGAUAGCCAAUGUAAAUAACGAAGAGAAUGGGAUUUCUGGAGGUACAUCCAUUUAAAAAAAUUCCCUGUUGUGCUUUCCAUUUUUUUGUAUUAGUAUAAAUGUAUAAUUGAUUUUUGUUGAAUGUUUUACUUUUACAAGGGAGAAAAGGAUACUAGGGCAAGCUUAACUAUUUUGAUUUAGGUUUAAUUAUUUGCCCUGUUAAACAUGGAAACAGUAGUUAUCAAAAUUGAGAAACCAGUGAGGCUGUGAAUCUUGUACCAUU